ensembl:lncRNA
GCCCUCACUUGCAGUCUGUUUGCACAGCUCCUGCCCCAGUGUCCUACAGCCCUGAGGAAUAUUAGAUAUCCGUACAAACUGCAGCUUUUCCUGAAAUGAAACUUCUUGUCUUGCCAGCCUAUUCUCUCUAAAUGUAGAAAAGAGAAGAAAAAGGAUAAAAUAGGAACUCCUAGAAUCACUGGGGUUGGGAGGGACCUCUGGGAAUCAUCCAGACCAAGUCCACAUUAAAGUAGGUUCCCUGCAGUGGGUUGCCCAGUAAAGCAUCCAGAUUGCCCACAGCUUCUACUACUGUGUCAAAGGUAGUCUAAAACAGAAGGCAAUCUAAGAGAUCUCCUGCUGCUUAUGCCAGUCUCAUAAGCAGAAAGAAGACCUCCUUUCAUUCUUCAUUCUGUGCAAGUGAAACUACCAGUGUAUCUAACAGCUGAUCAACAUCACAAGUUUUCCUCCACAAAAACAGUAUUUAUUUGCUUCUUUUAACUUGCUGUGCAAGCCUUUCAGUUUUUUUAAAAGCAGACAGCUUUACCAAGUCAGGAAUCCCAGACCUUGGAGUUAUUAUAGAUUCACUGUCAGAAGUCAACAACCAGCCACGUAAAUAGAUGUUAAGGAUGACACGGUAACACACCAUGCAAGGCACCUGCCAUACAUUUUCCAGAAGAAGUCAGUACUGGAGACGGCGCUGUAGGUACCAUGGAGAGCUCCUAGGCCAGGCACUGUGCUGGAGGACCGUCAUGUCCAGACCCAUGACUUGCAGCGGACACGUUACAGAAGGUGCAUCCAGCUGCAAAAUGUGGAUCAGGUCUGAACUGCUAUCUCAAGACAUCGUUAUGCAUCUGCUCUAACUAUGAAACCUACUCCACUUCACCAUUAUAGAGGUUUUCCACUUUGACUCCAUUCGAUUUUCUCGUUUUCGGAUUUGGGGAGUUAUUUUUGAGUAGCACAACUUCACUAGCUUCACUGACACCGAAUGUGAUGUACAGCAGUGGAGUUACAAUAGAGUUAAACCAAUGAUCUGACAUACUGAUUGGCAAUGUUAGUCUCAUUUUACAAAAACCAGAUUCCUUUUCUGUUUGCUGUCACUGUAGCAACAUCUAAUGACAGGCUGUGACAGCAUGAGCAAGGGGGGAGAGCUGUGAAAAAAAGUUGAGCCAUAAAACAUCUGUCUUAGCAACAAAUUAAGCCUGAAGUAGAGCCAUAUUACUACUUUUGUCCAUACAUCUAUCUUUUUAACACUGUUUUUCCACCAGAUUGUUAAAAAUAACUUGUUGCUGUCUCUAAGCUGUGUGAUGCAUAAGAAGAUUUUGCUUUGGUACUUUUAAGAUCAGAGAGUGCUGAUGCAGAGUUCUGAGGCUACUAAACUCAGGAUUUACAAUUUACCUUGGCUCCUUAAGGCAAUACAUUAAUACUUGCAGUAAUUGCAGAAAAGUCCCGAAGGGACCAUGAGUGUUGUACAUAGUUUAAGUAUGAAUAUUGAUUCAGUUAUUCAAUCAGUCAGGCUUUAUUUUAUAUAGUACAUCUACCCUUCAGUGUUCAUCUUUGGUCACUAUGGAUAAAUAAUGAGAAAGGAAUUGGAACUGUAAAUAAAGCUUCAGCUCAGGAGGCACUGUUCUAACAAAAGAGGUAGUACGUAAUAAAUACACACAAG